rnacentral:rRNA from 1 species
AUUGAACGCUGGCGGCAGGCCUAACACAUGCAAGUCGAACGGUAGCACAGAGAGCUUGCUCUCGGGUGACGAGUGGCGGACGGGUGAGUAACGUCUGGGAAACUGCCCGAUGGAGGGGGAUAACUACUGGAAACGGUAGCUAAUACCGCAUAACGUCGCAAGACCAAAGUGGGGGACCUUCGGGCCUCACACCAUCGGAUGUGCCCAGAUGGGAUUAGCUAGUAGGUGGGGUAAUGGCUCACCUAGGCGACGAUCCCUAGCUGGUUUGAGAGGAUGACCAGCCACACUGGAACUGAGACACGGUCCAGACUCCUACGGGAGGCAGCAGUGGGGAAUAUUGCACAAUGGGCGCAAGCCUGAUGCAGCCAUGCCGCAUGUAUGAAGAAGGCCUUCGGGUUGUAAAGUACUUUCAGCGGGGAGGAAGGCGGUGAAGUUAAUAGCUUCACCGAUUGACGUUACCCGCAGAAGAAGCACCGGCUAACUCCGUGCCAGCCGCCGCAGUAA